GAUGAACGCUGGCGGCGUGCCUAAUACAUGCAAGUCGAGCGAACGGACGAGAAUCUUGCUUCUCUGAUGUUAGCGGCGGACGUGUGAGUAACACGUGGAUAACCUACCUAUAAUACUGGGAUAACUUCGUGAAACCGUAGCUAAUACCGGAUAAUAUUUUGAACCGCAUUGUUCAAAAGUGAUAUACGUUCUUGCUGUCACUUAUAGAUGUAUCCUCGCUGCAUUAGCUAGUUGUUAAGGUAACGGCUUACCAAGGCAACGAUGCAUAGCCGACCUGAGAGGGAGAUCGGCAACACUGGAACUGAGAAACGGACCAGACGACUACGGGAGGAAGCAGUAGGGAAUCUUCCGCAAUGGGCGAAAGCCUGACGGAGCAACGCAGCGUGAGUGAUGAAGGUCUUCGGAUCGUAAAACUCUGUUAUUAGGGAAGAAAAUAUGUGUAAGUAACUGUGCACAUCUUGACGGUACCUAAUCAGAAAGCAACGGCUAACUACGUG
rnacentral:rRNA from 1 species